rnacentral:rRNA from 1 species
GAUGAACGCUGGCGGCGUGCUUAACACAUGCAAGUCGAACGAAGAUGCCGGAGUGCUUGCACUUUGGCAGACUGAGUGGCGGACGGGUGAGUAACGCGUGGGUAACCUGCCUUAUACAGGGGGAUAACAGUUGGAAACGACUGCUAAUACCGCAUAAGCGCACGGUAUCGCAUGAUACAGUGUGAAAAACUCCGGUGGUAUAAGAUGGACCCGCGUCUGAUUAGCUUGUUGGUGAGGUAACGGCCCACCAAGGCGACGAUCGAGUAGCCGGCCUGAGAGGGUGAACGGCCACAUUGGGACUGAGACACGGCCCAAAACUCCUACGGGAGGCAGCAGUGGGGAAUAUUGCACAAUGGGGGGAAACCCCUGAUGCAGCGACGCCGCGUGAGUGAUGAAGUAUUUCGGUAUGUAAAACUCUAUCAGCAGGGAAGGUAAUGACGGUACCUGACUAAGAAGCACCGGCUAAAUACGUG